rnacentral:lncRNA from 1 species
UUGCUAAUAGAAUUUGUUUAACCAGUCCAAUAUUUUAUGACACCUUUGCCUCUGGCACAGAUUUAUUAUCACACCUAUAGGAGUGAGUAAUUUGGUUAGAUUUACAAUCACCAGAAUACCAGUAAGAGCUCAUCACUGCAACUAUACAUAACCUAAUCUAUAAAAUGAUGCAUUUGAACAACCCUGUAUAGGCUGAUCCAGGUAUUACAAUCAAUUAUGGUGGCGUUGGAAUGAGACAAGUGCGUGAAAUGCUAAAGAAACAGAGAAACAAAAACCGAAGAGAACCCUGUAUACGUCAAUAUUGUUCCACCAAUAUUUUAGCAUUGUUCACGCAUUUGGAUUUGAUUGGACAUAAGAGGAACCCUUUUCACGAGUCUAACUUUCAGACCAUGUUUCAUUUGAAUGAUAAUAGAAGCACUUGGAGAAAUUAUUUGAUCUUCCCCUAAUUGGAUAUGAUAAUUGUAUAUGAUGGUAGCUGCCACUAUUUUCAUCUGAAUGAACGCCAUUUCCUUCCCUAUACAAGUCCUUGGACCUGCAUUAAAGGCUGAGAAUUUGAAAGACGGCUCGUGUUUGAUCCCUCCUCGUUUAGAAAUCCAUCUCUCUGGCUUGAAUUCUAAGCAAUCUUCCCCCCAUAUACUUUCCAUUCUCCCCAUUGUAUAGAGAGAUAGCACAAUUCUCAUGUUUGGACUAACAUGGUGACCGCUCGGAAGAAUGUCAAAGUCAUGUGGAAGUUUGUGCUCAAUUGCAACUGAUGGAAAGAACCUCAGGGUUUCACACAAAGCACCAUGUAGAUAGACUAGUUUUCUUGUUUCUUGUAUGCUGAAAAAGUUGAGAUUUUCAUCUUCUUUUAGAUUCAAUUGUUGUUGAAUCUCUUCUCUAAUCCUUUUCUCUGCUAAGGGAUUUUUAGCUAAGAGCCAAAAAAACCAAGUGAGAGCUGCACUUGUGGUGUCUCUACCAGCAAGCAUCAAACUCAAGAAAGUGUCUCUUAGAAAUGUUUGCAAAGUACCCAAAUCACCAUCUUUCCAUUGAUUAUACAUUUUGAUGUACUCGUUUAAAAAUGUGAAUUCCUCGUCUUUGAUUGUACUUUGAUGCAGCAAUUCUUCUUGCUUACGCGAAAUGCAAGGAUAUAAGAACUGAUCAAAAGCUUCCCAUGCUUGAAUGAGCUUCUUUUCUCUACCAAUUCGAAGCCAUUUUUGCAAUUUCCAGCAACUUUCUGGCAAGAGAUGUCUGUAAAGAAGUGCAUCCACAGUGUCGUUGAACGCCUUUUCACAUGGCACAUGAGGUAAGCCAAUAGACAAACUUUUCGGAUCAUGAUCAAGUAACAAUUUGCUGAUAGCAUCAAAAGUGAAUCUCUGGAAAAUAUCUUGCAUAUCAAACAGAAUGUCCUGUUCAGCAAAAGCAUCAAGAAUUGGUCGGAGCCUGUUUUCAAUAAUGUUCCACAUGUUCCUCUCCAACAAAGUUUGGAACUUGGCAUGAUUCAUUAAGGACAUGGUGGUCUUCCUAUGCAUCUCCCAUAGCUCAUAAUCAACAUUGAACAUCCCAUUUCCUAAUAUAUCAAAAAUUUUACGGAACUCAACACCCUUUGGAUAGUUUGAGAAAUUUUUACUAAGGAUAUAGUGGAUAUUUGCAGGAUCACUAGUAAUUAACAUGUUCAAGUUUGCAAGAACAGGGCCAUGAAACUUAAAAGUUCCCUUAGUUUCUACAAGAAUAUCAGUUGCAAAUUCAUGGACACGAUGAGCAUUUUGAAUAAGCCCAGGCAACAUUCCAACUAGUGGCCAAUUUGUUGGCACUGAGCUUGAUUUCCACCAUCUAUUACUAAGGUACCACCAUGUAGAAUAAGUAAAACACAUGAUGAUAAUCAAGAGAGGAAGAAAAUAUUCAAGAACAUCCAUUUCUUUCUCAAACAAAGAAAAGAAUUUGAGAUGGAGAGAGGAAACUUAUUUAAGUUCAGGAUUAGUUCUAUCAACUUCACAUUUUGUAAUGAGAAUUGAGUAAAAAAAGACCAGCAAAACGAAAGGCAUGGCCUCAUAUUUUAUUUUAUUUUUUUGAUGACCGUGGUAUCCGGAUCAGCUUUCGUGCACCUCGCUAAUUCCACAAAGAUACCUGCCACCUCCCACUGGCAACCAAGGCUAGGACAGAUAGGAAGAAUCACCUAGUCAUAUAUCAUAUAUCAUAUAUAUAUAUAUAUAUAUAUAAGAGAACCUUAGGCCCGCCUACGUGGCGCCACCACAAACCAGAAUUCUCUUUUAAUUUAUUUAUUUUCAAACCUAGCCUUCCCGAAAAGUUGCGACUUUUGUGAAGAGUUGCGACUUUGAUGAAAAGUUGAGACUUUUAUGAAGAGUUGCGACUUUAAUGAAGAGUUGCUACUUUUAUGAAAAGUUGUGACUUUUAUGAAAGGUUGUGACCUUUUCGAAUGGUUGCAACUUUUUCGAAUGGUUGAAACAUUUCCGAUAAGGCACAAUAAAUAUUUGUUCACACUACUCUUUGUUGUCUAUAAAUAGAGGGAUUUCCUCUCAUUUUAAAAGAACGAAAAUUAUGAACCUCUUCCUCUUCUUCUUCUUCACAAUUAAAUAUUUGUGUAUUUUGCUCCUGUUGAGUGGCUCACUGACACCAUUGCUUAUGUUACACAUCCUGGUAUAUAUUUUUACAGUCAUUAAUUUAUACUUAUAUUAUUAAGGAUAAAUGAUAAGAUGUUACAAUUUUCAUUUUCCUUUACAUUAUUAAUGUUUUGUUAUUACGUAAUCUUGUAUGUAAGACAAUAAAAUAUUUUAGUUUUAAUGACUGAUAAGCUUUAAGUAUUAUUUUAUAAAUUUCAUAAUAUUAAAUUUUCGUGCGAAGUGCGGGUUAUUUUCGUAGUGAGAUUUAAACCUGACACCUACUAGCUCUAAACACUCAUAAUUGAGUCAAGCAUUUUGAAGAUCACUAUCUUGGACCCUUAUAUGAGUUGCUAACCACAAGUGUCAAUCCUAAGAUAGAUAAGCAUGUGAGAAUCAGACAGGGAGAUGUAUUUACCAGACAAAAUGACAAUUUAGAUAUGGUGUCAUUUAUGUCGUAUUAUUAUAAGUUAUCUCAACGACAGUCUGGUGGAAAGGAUUGAAUCCCUCCAACAUUAAUUACAGACGUCUAGUCAAGCCAUCAAAAUGAGAAAACUUCUAGAUAUAUUUGUAAUUUUAUAUCAUAAAUAUUUUUUAUUUAUGGAUAUUUUUCAAUGUUUCUUCAUAGAUAUUUCCAUCAUCUCAAAGUCCAUAUUUUAUAGUUAUGUUGUUCAUGGAUUGGAAGUUAAUUGAAACCACAAGACAAAUUCCUCUUGCUAAAAUGGAAUAGCAAAAGCUUCAACUGUCUGUUGUUAUCAGUGUGUGACAUAUUUUUAAUGUACACACGUAUAGCUAAGUGUGUUGAAUUGAUUAAAAUUUGUUUAUGGACGAGUAUGGAAAUGGCGGAGUGAUAACUUGAGGCUUCGUUUACUGCUUCCCGGAGCUUGAAGAUGCACACAUAAGAAGAAGCUAGACGUGGGCUUUAGUUGUUAUAAGUACUUGAACAAUGUGGUGCAUGUAGCACAACUAAAAACACAAGCCAUUAAGAUGUUGAAUAAAUAACUAAUCAACAUUCAGGCUCCAAUAAGAGGAUACUUCAGGAUUUCGAAAAAAGCAUGAAACUAUUUUCAACCUAUAGGAGUGAGUAAUUUGGUCAGAUUUACAAUCACCAGAAUACCAGUAAGAGCUCAUCACUGCGACUAUACAUAAUUGAUCCAGGUAUUACAAUCAAUUAGGGUGGCGUUGGAAUGAGACAAAAUGCUAAAGAAACAUAGGAACAAAAACCAAAGAGCACCUUGAAAGAUUGGAAGAGAAAGUAAAUCCAACCAUUCCCAAAAAAUUUCAAAUUGUGAACACCUUACAGGAAC